rnacentral:rRNA from 1 species
GUCCACGCUGUAAACGAUGGGCACUAGGUGUCGCGGGUAUUGACCCCUGCGGUGCCGCAGCUAACGCAUUAAGUGCCCCGCCUGGGGAAUACGGCCGCAAGGUUAAACUCAAAGGAAUUGACGGGGCCCGCACAAGCGGUGGAGCAUGUGGUUCAAUUCGACGCAACGCGAAGAACCUUACCCGGGUUAGACAACAGAGGACACCCUUAGAAAUAAGGUCUCCCCUUCGGGGGCCUCUGGUUCAGGUGCUGCAUGGCUGUCGU